ACCCUGCUUCCAAGAAAAGCCACUAAGCUUCAGCUACACACGACCGUACCGCAAACCGACACUGGUGCGCGAGAUGAGUAUUCUAAGGCGCUUGAGAGAACUCUGGAGAAGGAACUCGGCAAAUUGACACCGUAACUUCGGAAGAAGGUGUGCCCUUAGUAGGUGAAAUCGUACAGAUGGAGCCCAAUGAGGCCGCAGAGAAUCGGUGGCUGCGACUGUUUACUAAAAACACAGCACUCUGCAAAGACGAAAGUCGACGUAUAGGGUGUGACGCCUGCCCGGUGCUGGAAGAUUAAAUGAUGGGGUGCAAGCUCUUGAUUUAAGUCCCAGUAAACGGCGGCCGUAACUAUAACGGUCCUAAGGUAGCGAAAUUCCUUGUCGGGUAGUUCCGACCUGCACGAAUGGCGUAACGAUGGCCACACUGUCUCCUCCUGAGACUCAGCGAAGUUGAAAUGUUUGUGAUGAUGCAAUCUACCCGCGGAAAGACGGAAAGACCCCAUGAACCUUUACUGUAGCUUUGUAUUGGACUUUGAACAGAUCUGUGUAGGAUAGGUGGGAGGCUUUGAAGCAGGGUCGCUAGAUCUUGUCGAGCCAACGUUGAAAUACCACCCUGGUGUGUUUGAGGUUCUAACCUAGGUCCCUUAUCGGGAUCGGGGACCGUGCAUGGUAGGCAGUUUGACUGGGGCGGUCUCCUCCCAAAGCGUAACGGAGGAGUUCGAAGGUACGCUAGUUACGGUCGGACAUCGUGACGAUAGUGCAAUGGCAUAAGCGUGCUUAACUGCGAGACUGACAAGUCGAGCAGACGCGAAAGCAGGACAUAGUGAUCCGGUGGUUCUGUAUGGAAGGGCCAUCGCUCAACGGAUAAAAGGUACUCUGGGGAUAACAGGCUGAUACCGCCCAAGAGUUCAUAUCGACGGCGGUGUUUGGCACCUCGAUGUCGGCUCAUCUCAUCCUGGGGCUGUAGCCGGUCCCAAGGGUAUGGCUGUUCGCCAUUUAAAGAGGUACGUGAGCUGGGUUUAAAACGUCGUGAGACAGUUUGGUCCCUAUCUUCCGUGGGCGCUGCAGAUUUGAGGAAGCCUGCUCCUAGUACGAGAGGACCGGAGUGGACACACCUCUGGUGUAUCGGUUGUCACGCCGGUGGCAUUGCCGAGUAGCUAAGUGUGGAAGAGAUAACCGCUGAAAGCAUCUAAGCGGGAAACUC
rnacentral:rRNA from 1 species